AUGAAGCAGUUAUUCGUGCUGCCCAAGAGGAUUGAUGAUUUAAAACGGGGAGCUGCCAGAGCCGACGCCUUGACUACCGUAAGCCGGGCAAAGGCAUGGCAAGCCGAUCUUGACCCAGAGAAUUUGGCCAAUGGCUGCCCCAGUGUUAAAGAAGACGGAUCUGCCUUCAGUGCUGAUUAUUUUGCAGAAAUAGCAAGAGCCAUGCGUCCUUUAGCAAGCAAGCCGGCUGACGAAACCAGACUAUCCUCAUAUCAGGCGGCUUAUGAUGCUGAAAACAACACAGUGAGCGCGCCGGUUCACGAGCCAACAGAUCUGAUCCGCCGAUUCAUAAGCACACCUUUGCUCCUGACACUGAUCCAUCAAAUCUUAUUGAUGAUGAAGCUGUGUUUAGAGCAUUGA
rnacentral:rRNA from 1 species